UAAUAGGUGAGCUUUGAUUGACAAAAAGAAAUACGAAGUGCAAAAAGCCAAAAUACAAAGUUGAAACACAAAAGCUGAAAAAUAUUUCAACCAAGAGGAGCAAAAUAUAACUUAAGAAAAAGAACAAAAAGCCAGGAACAUACCCCGUGGCAAAACAGGGAGACCAGGGAGAACACUGGAAGACACCAGCGGGAGCAGGCUCAGGUGAAACACACAGGUAUGGGGUGUGACAUAUAACAGAUAUGCAAAUCCCCACACAUGUGUCACUUGAGUUAUGGGUAAGCCAAGGGCAACUUCUGGAGCCCUAAGGAGGGGAGACAAGUGCAAGAGAUGAGAAGUCUUUUGGCAAGCUGUGAGGACGAGGAGAAUUUGAUUGUUUAGAAGAACGACCCAAGCUCAGGUUAACAGUUGAGCCACAGAGCAUGAAGACACCUCCAGGGUCAAAACAGUUCCAUCUUACAAUAAUACACACCUGCUUUGCGAUUGGCCAGAUCUUGUUCAGAGAAAGUGGUUUCAUAUCUCGUUCUUGGAGCAGAUCAUACAGACACCCGUCCAGCAUCUCAAACGCUAAACAGGUUUGUCCCAUAUGUUCAAAGAGCUCAAAGAGCCUCACCACAUUAAUGUGGUCUGGGUUCAGGACACUGAUGACCUCUAACAUGGACAUCUGAUUUUGGCCUUCAAUAACUUUGCCAAAGCGACCUUCACCAAUACAUUCCAGAACAGAGUGACCAGGAGAGCUGCUGACCAGAGCUGGACCUGCCUGAACUCAGGUGCUGACAAUGGGAUCGUGCGAAGAGAUGGUGAACAUGAACAGAAAACAAGUCAAACCUUCAUAGUAAAUCUGUAAGGUUCUUUGAAUAAAGAGAUGUGAGAUGAAUGAGACAAAAUUCUCAAAACCAA